GUAAAUAUGUUUUGUUUUAAGCUGUUUGUGAUCAUUCAGUAUAUCCCAGUGAAUAACUAAUAGACCACCCAGAUAUUCAUAAGCACUUCCCACUCAUAAAGUAAUCUCACCUGUCUCCUCUCUCCCUAGUUGUUUGUUGGGAGGAACCCUCUUUUCCAUUUCUUCUGUGUUCCUGGCUUUUCUGUCUAGAAGGUUCUUGUUUAAAGCCACAUGUAAAGUGCAUGUUGAAAAAUAUGUUUUUCCUGUGGGAUGUACCUGUUUGAGAUCCACUUUCUGCUGGCUUCUCUGCCUUGCCCAUUCCCUGCCUCAGCUCACCCAAGGCCAUCUGAAGCAGUGUGUUUCCUGUUGCUCUGGCUUUCAUUCCCUCAAGUACAAGAAGCUACUGGGAGCUGUAAAUGCCUCCAUUAAAAAAGGAGAACAAUGUCAGAUCAAUAACAUUUACUUCAUACUUUUAGUGGUGCAUAACUCUUCACAUAACCCUACAUGGUAGAAUGGUCAAAACCUGCCAAGUCUUUAAA
ensembl:lncRNA